rnacentral:rRNA from 1 species
UGGGCAACCUGCCCAAAAGAGGGGGAUAACACUUGGAAACAGGUGCUAAUACCGCAUAACCAUAGUUACCGCAUGGUAACUAUGUAAAAGGUGGCUAUGCUACCGCUUUUGGAUGGGCCCGCGGCGCAUUAGCUAGUUGGUGGGGUAAAGGCUUACCAAGGCAAUGAUGCGUAGCCGAACUGAGAGGUUGAUCGGCCACAUUGGGACUGAGACACGGCCCAAACUCCUACGGGAGGCAGCAGUAGGGAAUCUUCCACAAUGGGCGAAAGCCUGAUGGAGCAACGCCGCGUGGGUGAAGAAGGUCUUCGGAUCGUAAAACCCUGUUGUUAGAGAAGAAAGUGCGUGAGAGUAACUGUUCACGUUUCGACGGUAUCUAACCAGAAAGCCACGGCUAACUACGUGCCAGCAGCCGCGGUAAUACGUAGGUGGCAAGCGUUAUCCGGAUUUAUUGGGCGUAAAGGGAACGCAGGCGGUCUUUUAAGUCUGAUGUGAAAGCCUUCGGCUUAACCGGAGUAGUGCAUUGGAAACUGGGAGACUUGAGUGCAGAAGAGGAGAGUGGAACUCCAUGUGUAGCGGUGAAAUGCGCAGAUAUAUGGAAGAACACCAGUGGCGAAAGCGGCUCUCUGG